rnacentral:rRNA from 1 species
GACGAACGCUGGCGGCGCGCUUAACACAUGCAAGUCGAACGGAAAGGCCUGCUUUCCCUUGUGGAUUGCGGGUACUCGAGUGGCGAACGGGCGAGUAACACGUGAGUGAUCUGCCCCCAACUUGGGUAUAUGCCUGGGAAACUGGGUCUAAUUCCCGAUAGGACUGCAGGGUGGUGCCUGUGGUGGAAAACGAUUUUCUAGUGGUUGGGGAUGAGCUCGCGGCCUAUCAGCUUGUUGGUGGGGUAAUGGCCUACCAAGGCGGCGACGGGUAGCCGGCCUGGGAGGGUGGACGGCCACAUUGGGACUGAGAUACGGCCCAGACUCCUACGGGAGGCAGCAGUGGGGAAUAUUGCACAAUGGGCGGAAGCCUGAUGCAGCGACGCCGCGUGGGGGAUGACGGCCUUCGGGUUGUAAACUCCUUUCGACCGCGAGGAAGCCACCUGGUUGGAAGGGUGGUGACGGUAGUGGUAGAAGAAGCACCGGCUAACUACGUG